AAAAAGGUAAACCCUGAGUUUUCGUGUCCAACUUUAACUGUCCGUCUUAUAUGAAAAUUUUUUUAUAAUUCGUAUUUUCGUUGUUGUCAUAUGAUAAAACAUGAUUAAUAUUUUAUGCGUGACUUGUCUUUUUAAUUUUUUUCAAAAUUUUUUCAAAUAAGACGGACGGUCAAACGUUGGGCACGGAAACCAGAGUUUGUCUUUUUU
rfam:Oryza glumipatula chromosome 7, whole genome shotgun sequence.